rnacentral:rRNA from 1 species
UACGUAGGGACCAAGCGUUGUUCGGAUUUACUGGGCGUAAAGGGCGCGUAGGCGGCUUGACAAGCCACUUGUGAAAUCUCCGGGCUUAACUCGGAACGGCCAAGUGAAACUGUCAUGCUAGAGUGCAGAAGGGGCAAUCGGAAUUCUUGGUGUAGCGGUGAAAUGCGUAGAUAUCAAGAGGAACACCUGAGGUGAAGACGGGUUGCUGGGCUGACACUGACGCUGAGGCGCGAAAGCCAGGGGAGCAAACGGG